rnacentral:tRNA from 1 species
GGAUGUGGCUCAGUGGUAGAGUGCUUGCCUAGCUUGCAUGAGGCCCUGGGUUCAACCUCCAACACCG